UACAGAGGGUGCAAGCGUUAAUCGGAAUUACUGGGCGUAAAGCGCGCGUAGGCGGUUGUGUAAGUUGGAGGUGAAAUCCCCGGGCUUAACCUGGGCACUGCCUUCAAAACUGCACGGCUAGAGUAUGGGAGAGGAAGGUAGAAUUCCAGGUGUAGCGGUGAAACGCGUAGAGAUCUGGAGGAAUACCGAUGGCGAAGGCAGCCUUCUGGCCUAAUACUGACGCUGAGGUGCGAAAGCGUGGGGAGCGAACAGG
rnacentral:rRNA from 1 species